UACGCAGGGGGCUAGCGUUGUUCGGAUUUACUGGGCGUAAAGCGCACGUAGGCGGAUCGUUAAGUCGGGGGUGAAAUCCUGGAGCUCAACUCCAGAACUGCCUUCGAUACUGGCGAUCUUGAGUCCGGAAGAGGUGAGUGGAACUCCUAGUGUAGAGGUGGAAUUCGUAGAUAUUAGGAAGAACACCAGUGGCGAAGGCGGCUCACUGGCCCGGUACUGACGCUGAGGUGCGAAAGCGUGGGGAGCAAACAGG
rnacentral:rRNA from 1 species